rnacentral:rRNA from 1 species
GACAGAGGGGGCAAGCGUUGCUCGGAAUUACUGGGCGUAAAGCGCGCGCAGGCGGACUGAUCAGUCUGGGGUGAAAUCUCACGGCUCAACUGUGAGCGGUCCCUGGAUACUGUCAGUCUUGAGAUGUCUAGAGGAGAGCGGAAUUCCCGGUGUAGUGGUGGAAUGCGUAGAUAUCGGGAAGAACACCAGUGGCGAAAGCGGCUCUCUGGGGACCAUCUGACGCUGAGGCGCGAAAGCGUGGGGAGCGAACCGG